rnacentral:tRNA from 1 species
AUAGCUCAGUUGGUUAGAGCACCUGACUCAUAAUCAGGUGGUCCCUGGUUCGAGCCCAGGU